AUAAAAAUGGCCUUGAACUGGUACCUCAGCAUAUGUACUCCCAAGUAAAGCCUCAGGUCUCUGUUGAUGCUCAGGCAGGCACUGAUUGGGAUCCAUUGGGUCGCCACCAGAAUGGCAUGAGUGGUGGUGUAGCAAUGGAACCAAGUGUUGAUGCCGAUGAUUUGGGGAGAUAUUCACCUUUUCCAAGCAGGUGAGCCUGGUCAAAUGGAGACUGCUACUGUGAACUGAAUGUAUUGGUUUAUAGGGAAACUCUUCCCUGUGGGAAAGUGGUAGCCAUAAAACGAGCUCAAAAAGAAUCAAAGCAGGGAGGGCCAGAAUUCAAAGCUGAGAUUGAACUUCUUUCAAGGGUCCACCACAAGAAUCUGGUUAGCCUUGUGGGAUUCUUCUUUGAACGAGAAGAACAAAUGCUAGUUUAUGAGUUUGUCCAAAAUGGAGCUUUGAAGGAUGCUCUCACGGGUAUUUGUAUAUCUCCAGCCUGGUACUUAAAGCAAAUAUUACUAUUUGUAUUAAAUUUUUAACUAAUUAAAUUGGAUUAUUACCUUUA